UUAAGUGCCCCGCCUGGGGAGUACGGCCGCAAGGCUAAAACUCAAAAGAAUUGACGGGGGCUCGCACAAGCGGUGGAGCAUGUGGCUUAAUUCGAUGCAACGCGAAGAACCUUACCGGGGUUUGACAUGGUAGAAGUAGAAGCCUGAAAAGGUGACGAACGGUAUCCAGUCCGUAACUAUCACAGGUGUUGCAUGGCUGUCGUCAGCUCGUGUCGUGAGACGUUGGGUUAAGUCCCCUAACGAGCGAAACCCUUGUCUUUAGUUGCCAACAGAUAAUGCUGGGCACUCUAAAGAAACUGCCGUCGUCAAGACGGAGGAAGGUGGGGAUGACGUCAAGUCAUCAUGGCCCUUAUAUCCCGGGCUGCACACGUGCUACAAUGGUCGGUACAAAGGGAUGCUAAGCCGUAAGGUGGAGCGAAACCCAGAAAGCCGAUCCCAGUUCAGAUUGGAGGCUGAAACCCGCCUCCAUGAAGUAGGAAUCGCUAGUAAUCGCGGAUCAGCUACGCCGCGGUGAAUAUGUUCCCGAGCCUUGUACACACCGCCCGUCAAGCCACCCAAGCAAGAUGCACCCAAAAUCACCGGCCUAACCUGAAAAGGAAGGAAGUGCCUAAGGUGUGUUUUGUGAGGAGGACUAAGUCGUAACAAGGUAGUCGUAGGAGAACCUGCGGCUGGAUCACCUCCUUUCUAAGGAG
rnacentral:rRNA from 1 species